rnacentral:rRNA from 1 species
UACGUAGGUGGCAAGCGUUGUCCGGAUUUACUGGGCGUAAAGGAUGCGUAGGUGGAUACUUAAGUCAGAUGUGAAAUCCCCGAGCUCAACUUGGGGGCUGCAUUUGAAACUGGGUAUCUGGAGUACAGGAGAGGAAAGCGGAAUUCCUAGUGUAGCGGUGAAAUGCGUAGAUAUUAGGAAGAACACCAGUGGCGAAGGCGGCUUUCUGACCUGUAACUGACACUGAGGCAUGAAAGCGUGGGGAGCAAACAGG